rnacentral:lncRNA from 1 species
UUGGAGUACAAUGGAUAGACUAGAGAUAGAGAAGUUGUUACAGAAAAUAAAACCGAAUCAAAACAACCUAUCUAUCCUAGCUGCUACGCUUGGAGAGUCCUGCACCAUGUUGCAGCCUUUGUACAACCAUAUGUCACGGUAUUUAACACCAUCCCUUAAUCUCAACUUGGAUAAGUUAAGAUUACGCUUGAAUUCUUCAAAACUCUUUGUGAGCAUGCUUUGGUGAAGCCAUCUGCAACCUGGUCUUGUGGAUGCACAAAACGAAUC